GUGAGGGUUAGUCAGACUGGGAAUGGGUUAGUCAGACUGGGAAUGGGUUAGUGUGAGGGUUAGUCAGACUGGGAAUGGGUUAGUCAGACUGGGAAUGAGUUAGUGUGAGGGUUAGUCAGACUGGGAAUGGGUUAGUGUGAGGGUUAGUCAGACUGGGAAUGGGUUAGUGUGAGGGUUAGUCAGACUGGGAAUGGGUUAGUGUGAGGGUUAGUCAGACUGGGAAUGGGUUAGUUUGAGGGUUAGUCAGACUGGGAAUGGGUUAGUUUGAGGGUUAGUCAGACUGGGAAUGGGUUAGUCAGACUGGGAAUGGGUUAGUGUGAGGGUUAGUCAGACUGGGAAUGGGUUAGUCAGACUGGGAAUGGGUUAGUUUGAUGAGGGUUAGUCAGAC